rnacentral:rRNA from 1 species
UACAGAGGUCCCAAGCGUUGUUCGGAUUCACUGGGCGUAAAGGGUGCGCAGGUGGGUUUGCAAGUUUGAUGUGAAAGCCCCGGGCUUAACCCGGGAAUGGCAUUGAAUACUGCAGAUCUGGAGGAUUGGAGGGGGGGACUGGAAUUCUUGGUGUAGCAGUGAAAUGCGUAGAUAUCAAGAGGAACACCAGUGGCGAAGGCGAGUCCCUGGACAAUUCCUGACACUGAGGCACGAAAGCUAGGGGAGCAAACAGG